rnacentral:rRNA from 1 species
UGGGGAAUUUUGCGCAAUGGGGGAAACCCUGACGCAGCAACGCCGCGUGGAGGAUGAAAUAUCUUGGUAUGUAAACUCCUUUCGAUGGGGACGAUAAUGACGGUACCCAUAGAAGAAGCCCCGGCUAACUUCGUGCCAGCAGCCGCGGUAAUACGAGGGGGGCAAGCGUUGUUCGGAAUUAUUGGGCGUAAAGGGUGCGUAGGCGGUUUCGCAAGUCUUAUGUGAAAUCUAUGGGCUCAACCCAUAGUCUGCAUGGGAAACUGCGAGGCUUGAGGAUGGGAGAGGUGAGUGGAAUUUCCGGUGUAGCGGUGAAAUGCGUAGAUAUCGGAAGGAACACCUGUGGCGAAAGCGGCUCACUGGACCAUUUCUGACGCUGAUGCACGAAAGCUAGGGGAGCAAA